UACGGAAGGCAGCAGUGGGGAAUAUUGCACAAUGGGCGAAAGCCUGAUGCAGCUAUGCCGCGUGUAUGAAGAAGGCCUUAGGGUUGUAAAGUACUUUCAUCGGGGAGGAAAACAAAACUAAUAAUUUUAUUUCUUGACGUUACCCGAAAAAGAAGCACCGGCUAACUCCGUGCCAGCAGCCGCGGUAAUACGGAGGGUGCUAGCGUUAAUCAGAAUUACUGGGCGUAAAGAGCACGUAGGUGGUUUUUUUAAGUCAGAUGUGAAAUCCCUGGGCUUUAACCUAGGAACUGCAUUUUGAAACUGAAAUACUAGAGUAUCGUAGAGGGAGGUAGAAUUCUAGGUGUAGCGGUGAAAUGCGUAGAAUAUCUGGAGGAAUACCUGUGGCGAAAGCGGCCUCCUAAACGAAUACUGACACUGAGGUGCGAAAGCGUGGGGAGCAAACAGGGAUUAGAUACC
rnacentral:rRNA from 1 species